CUCACAGCAUAGCCCUCAGCAUGGACUGGAGCUGGAGAACCCUCCUCCUGGUGGCCAUGGCAACAGGUGUCCACUCCCAGGAGCAGCUGGUGCAGUCUGGGGCUGAGGUGAGGAAGCCUGGGGCCUCCGUGAAGGUCUCCUGCAAGGAUUCUGGAUAUACCUUCACCAGCUACUACAUGCACUGGGUGCGACAGGCCCCAGGACAGGGGCUUGAGUGGGUGGGGAGGAUUUACCCUGGUGAUGGAAGCACAAGCUAUGCACAGAAGUUCCAAGGCAGAGUCUUCAUAACGAGAGACAUGUCCACGAGCACAGCCUAUAUGGAGCUCAGCAGCCUGAGAGCCGAGGACACGGCCGUGUAUUACUGUGCAAGAGACACACAGUGA